AUUGCUGAACAGUAUGACAUCUCGAGGAUCUUCAAAUUGGUCGGUUGAUUUUCCAUCUAAGAUAUGUCCAUGUCCUCAAGGGAAACUAUGCACGGUUAAAAAAGUACAAAAGAAUCCGAUUAAUCGAGGAAGAUCAUAUUAUGCCUCGACUUGUAAUACAGAUAAUUGUCGGGGGUUUGUGCAAUGGGUUGAAGAUUAUAUUGAGGAAUACAGGAUGUAUUCACCUAAAAAUGUGGACGCAGUCAUUUCUCGAGUGGCAUCAAGCCAAAAUGAAGAAUGGACAAUCAUGAAAGGAGAAUUGAAGGAAGUUAGAGGAAAAAUAGGCUUUAUUAUGCCACUACUAAUAAUAUAUGGAGUCGUCAUAUCUUUCCUUCUUGGAAUUGUGAUUUCUAUGUUACUAUAUAGGUAAUUAUAGCGAUCAAUCUUGAUGGUUAUG